rnacentral:lncRNA from 1 species
GGUUACGAAAUUACCUAAUGCUGUUCUGAGUAGACAGCAACUUCUCAACAACGUGUAGUCUGAUCUACAGUCGAACUAACCCGCAAUCUAUCGAGACUCCGACCUCUACGUGAUCCACCCAGUUGACUACGAAUGGAAGAAAUCCCCAAAACAAUUUUGAGAGUGAAUUUUCUUUGAUGGCUGCUAGACCAAAACAAAGAAAAACGGGAUACUUAUAUCCUUAUUAUUUAUUUUUUUAGGGUUUUUAUUUAUGAAUUAAAAUAAAUAUAAUAAUAUUUUAAACCAAAAAUUAUAAUUACAUUAAUUAUAAUAUAAUUUUGGUAAACCAUAUAUUUAUUUGAAUUCAUAUGCUAACCUCAUUAUGUAUACAACAACCUUGAACAUAAUGUGUUGGAAAUCGAAUUAAAUUAAUUCUAUAAUUAAUUUAAUUCAAGUGACACCUAAAAAUAAUACCAACUAUGGUUUAUUCCGUUCAUUUUAACUAUAGGGUGUGACCCUGUAGGUUCUUGUAACGUUAGCAGUAAUACUAGAACGAUUCCAAUGUUACAAACAAUGAGUGGCAUCUAGCAAUGCAUCAUUGCUACCUAAGUCACAAGAGAUCAUGAUUCGACAUAACCUUUUAUGAUUAACCUUUUAUGCAAUAAUCCUUAAGUCCUUUAUCUCUGGAUUGGACACAAGUCAUGGAAUAGUCACACUUGUAUAGUUCAUUCCAUGUUCCUUGAUAUUUUAAGCAGACUACGAUAUACAAAUAAGUAUGACAUCUCAUAUCAACUUAUUUGAGCAUGGCCAUGCAUUUCUAGUCUCACUUAAUCAAGUGGCCUAAGAUAUUACUCCUAUUAUGUAGGAGGGACUUAUUCUAUAUCGACCAACCAUAUCCCUCUACAUCGAUUGUGGUAUAUCCAACACCAGCCUUUAUAGAACAACUAGUUACGGUGUACGUUUGACUGUAUCAAAACAUACUACUCACGAUGUUGGGAUUAUGAUGAUCUCAAGUUUGAGGAUCAUAUACAUAUUAAUCACUAUGAGUAAUGUCGUGACAAUUACAUAAUAAUCCAAGAAACAUACUCAUAAUGGGUCAGUCCAAUAUGUUGUUCUCUAACACACAUAUUCAUGCAUCGAUUCUGAUAUUCCAUAUCAAUGAUAACUCUUUAUCAUCAAUCAACUACAUGUUAGUCUUAAUGCAUUAUUGUAACACCCCGUACCCGAGUCCGUCGCCGGAGUCGGACACGAGGGGUUUGCAGACUUAAAUCACUUCUUUGCACAAUCCAUUUUAAAUUUUCCAAGCAAGCUGGCUAACUGCGUCACUGUCACCUUAAAAAUCAUAUCUUGAGUUUCACAACUCGAAAAUCAGCUUCGUGAUUUUUCCCUGAAACUAGACUCAUAUAUGCAUCUAAAAUUUUUUUUCUAUAAUUUUUGGUCGGGCCAAUUAGUACAGUUUAUUAGUCAAAGUCUCCCAUGUUAUAGGGAUCGACUACACUAACCUUUGCGCAUUACGACUUGGAUAUCUCCCUGUACAGGGCUUCAAUACUGAUGUCGUUUGUUUCUAUAGAAACUAGACUCAAAAAGGAAUCUAUUCAUAUAUGGCAUGACUUCUAAUUAUCUCUGGUUAAUUUAUAAUGAAUUUCCAAAGUCGGAACAGGGAAUCCAGAAACCGUUCUGGCCCUGUCUCACGAGAACCUGAAUAUCUCUUAACAUACUGUCCAUAUGAUCAUUUCGUUACUUUCCUAUGAAAAUAGAUUCAUCAAGGUUCGUUUACAUAAUUUAUUCACUAUUUAAUUCCAUUCCUAAUAUUUUUAGUGAUUUUUCACAUCCACAUCACUACUGCUGCCAGCAUCUAUUUUUAAGGUAAACUUUACCUAUUUCAUGAUCCUCCAUGGAUCAACUACAGUUUGUCAUGCAUAUUACAAAAGUGAUCAAGAAUAACCCUUCCCAUGGCUAACCGUUACCAACAUUUCCAUACCUCUCGACGGACAACAUACAAAACGAUUAUAAUGCUAUGAUCAAAGUAUAUUUAAGCCAUUUUCGCAUGGCUAUCCAAAUUUACACAAAACCGAAGGGUACAUGACCAACAACAAAAGGGUAGUCCUAUACAUGCCAUUUCAAAGUUCAACCAAAAUUGUACCAAAAGGGGGCUUUGAUAGUGUGGGAGACUUCGACUUCCAAAAAUCCCGAGUCCGAUAGCUGAAGAACCAAAAUCUAUAAACAGAGAAUCAAAGAAACGGAGUAAGCAUUAAUUGCUUAGUAAGUUUUGAGCAAAGAAUUUAGACACAACCAAAGUAUAGCAUUCAUGUAGCUAAACGGAUAAUUUCAUAUGCACAAAUUUUCAAUAUCAUACUUACUUCACAUUACCAACCCUUAUAUUCAUACACAAAGAUUAACUUAGCCAAAGGCCGGUAGCUCAUUUAUCAACUGAGCGAAUACUUAUUUGUAAGGGCUCAACUAAUUCAAAGCACAUACGAAAAAUACCUCAAUGUUGGGAUGUUACAAGCGUAUUAACUGAAAUUUUUACAGCAAGAUCGUUCAUUCCCGAAUCACGUACCUUCGGAAUUUAACCGGAUAUAGCUACUCGUUCAAAUGCCUUCGGGACAUAGCCCGGUUAUAGUAACUCGCACAAAUGCCUUCGGGACUUAACCCGGAUUUUAGUAACUCGCACCAAUGCCUUCGGGCUUAGCCCGGAAUUAGUAACUCACACAAAUUCCUUCGGAUCUUAGUCCGGAUAUGGUCACUUAGCACAAAGCCUUCGGGACUUAGCCCGGACAUCAUUCGAAUAACCAUGCACAUUUAACAAUAAAUCAUGACACAUUCGUAUUUCAUUUUCAUUAGCAAAACUCAAACACAAGACACUUAUCACUCUUGCAAUUUCGGCUCAAUAGCCACACACAAAGAGCAUGAUUUUGAUUUGCUUAAAACAUGAUCUAAUCAAAUCAUAAUUUAAGCUCUAUUACUCAAGAACUUACCUCGGAUGUUGUCGAACGAUUUCGAUGGCUAUUCGACCACUUUUUCCUUCCCUUUAUCGGAUUUAGAUCCCCUUUGCUCUUGAGCUUAAUUAAACAAAUAAAUUGAUUUAAUCAUUUGAGCAUCGAAAAGAGGAACACAAGGCACUUAGCCCAUAUUUAUACAUUAGACAUUAAAGUCACAUACAUGUGAAAUCAUGCAUCAACUCAACAUAUUAACCCACACUCCCUUUUAGCCGAUUGUCCUAACCAAGAUAAAGGCAUCAAUAUGCUUGCCUCUAACCGAAUGCAUGCAACACAAAUCUUCUCAUGUGGCCGAGUAUGCAUGUAUAUGUUGAGGCCAAUUAUAUGCUUAAUACUUCCCACAAGUAUGGUUACUUGUAUUGGUUAUAUACCGUUUCGUUUCAAAUUCAAAACUCGGCUAAUACGCAUUUAUACACUAGUAAUCAAAUACUAACAUUUUGCAUUUUAUCUUACUACCAUUUCACAUCUACUUUCUACCAUGGCCGAAUGCAUCAAGACACCAUUUACCCUUAUAUUUACCAUAGCCGAAAACCUUACUCAUUCGGCCGAGCAAGAAUGAUGCAUCCAUGACCGAGUGUCAUUUCCAUCACAUAGCAAGAUUUAGACCAUGGGCUAGGUAGAACUCAAGCUAACAACUAAAACAUGCAUGCAUCUCAUGGAAUAUCAUCAAACAUACCUUAGCCUAGUUACAUGCAUGGCCGAACCUCUUCAACCUUUCUUCUUCCCUUCCUCCUUAAAAUUUUCGGCCAAGGAUGAACCAAAGGAUGAACACUUUUUUUUUGUUUUUCUUUCCUUCAACUCACGGCAAUGGGGGGGACAAUCACACACAUCCUUUCUUUUCUUUUUUUUUUUUGUUUCUCAUCCUACUAACACUAAUAUUUUAUUGCCCAUGCUCUUUAUUUUAUUAAUCCUUACAUAAUGCACUACCCCAACAUGUUUAUGACAUGUUUUUAGCCAUAACAUCUUGUCCACCCAUGCUCUUUAUUUUAUUAAUCCUUACAUAAUGCACUACCCCAACAUGUUUAUGACAUGUUUUUAGCCAUAACAUCUUGUCCACCCAUGCUCAUGGCCGGCCACUACAUAUUAGGGGGGGAAAAUUGACAUGCAAGUCCUCCCUUUUGAUUACAUGCACUAUUAGGUCCUUGUAGAUUAGCCUAUCACAUUUCAAAAAUGUCACCCAUAAGUCCUUUUGACUAAAUUCACAUGCAAUUUACUAAAUCGAAGCCUAAAACUUUCACACCUUCAUAAUCACAUAUUUUAGACAAUAAAUAUCACAUUCAAAUAAUUUGGUGACUCGGUUUAGCGUUCCCGAAACCGCUUUCUGACUAGGGUCACUUUAGGGCUGUCACAACUCUCCCCCACUUAAGAAAUUUUCGUCCCCGAAAAUCUUACCGGUAAAUAAGUUUGGGUAUCGUUCUUUCAUCGAGCUCUCGGUUUCCCAAGUAGCUUCCUCGAUCCCGUGUUUGAGCCAUAACACCUUUACUAACGGAACCUUUUUGUUUCGCAACUCUUUCACUUCACGAGCUAGGAUACGCAUCGGUUCUUCUUCAUAACUCAUAUCGGCUUGAAUUUCAACCUCUGAUGGGCUAAUUAUGUGCGAUGGAUCAGAUCUAUAGCGUCGAAGCAUCGAAACAUGAAAGACGUCGUGAAUCUUUUCAAGUUCAGGGGGUAAAAUCAAUCGAUACGCAACUGGACCGACUCGUUCGGAUAUUUCAUAUGGCCCAAUGAAUCUCGGACUCAACUUGCCCUUACGGCCAAAUCUGAGUACCUUUUUCCAAGGCGAAACUUUAAGAAACACUUUAUCUCCCACCUGAUAUUCAAUGUCUUUUCGUUUCAAAUCCGCAUACGAUUUCUGACGAUCUGUGGCUGCCUUCAGACUUUCACGGAUUACCUUUACUUUCUGUUCGGCAUCUUUAAUCAAAUCAACUCCGAAAAUUUUACUUUCACCGAGCUCGGUCCAAAACAAUGGUGUACGACAUUUACGCCCGUACAAGGCCUCGUAAGGUGCCAUCUUAAUACUUGAUUGAAAACUAUUGUUGUAAGCGAAAUCAAUCAAAGGAAAUACCGUUCCCAUGAACCGCUGAACUCGAGGAUGCAACAUCUCAACAUAUCCUCAAGUAUCUGAAUUAUCCGCUCGGAUUGACCAUCGGUUUGGGGGUGAAAAGCGGUACUAAAGUGCAGCUUGGUACCCAAAGCUUCUUGCAAUUUCUUCCAAAAUCGCGAGGUGAAUCUCGGAUCUCUAUCCGACACAAUAGAAAUCGGUACCCCGUGUAAUCUCACAAUCUGAGAAACAUACAAUUCAGCUAGUUUAUCCAAUGAAAAAUCCGUACGCACGGGGAUAAAGUGAGCCGACUUAGUCAGUCUAUCAACAACAACCCAAAUCGCAUCCUUCUUACUUGCUGACAAUGGCAGUCCGAACAUAAAGUCCAUUGUGACUCGAUCCCAUUUCCACUCGGGUAUCAUGAUCGGCUGAAGUAAUCCUGAAGGCACUUGAUGUUCCGCUUUCACUUGUUGACAUAUUAAACAUCUUGAAACAAAGUCGGAGAUGUCUCGUUUCAUACCAUGCCACCAAAACCGACGUUUCAAAUCGUUGUACAUUUUCGUACUCCCCGGGUGAAUUGACAUUCGGCUACAAUGGGCUUCGUUCAGAAUCAUCGAAAUGAGUUCCGAAUUCCUUGGAACACACAAACGACUUCUGAACCUCAAACAAUCAUCAUCAUCAAUUUGAAACUCCGAUUCCUUGUUCGGAACACACUCAGCCCGUUUUGCAACUAAUUCAUCGUCGACUUUCUGAGCUUCACGAAUUUGAUGAAUCAAUAAUGGUUCGGCCUUUAAUUCAGCUACUAACACAUUGUCGGGUAGAACAGACAAGAGUACAUUCAUCGCUCGUAAAGCAAACAGUGAUUUCCGGCUUAAGGCGUCCGCAACCACAUUAGCCUUUCCCGGGUGAUAGUCAAUGACAAGCUCAUAAUCCUUUAACAACUCGAGCCAACGUAUUUGUCGCAGAUUUAAGUCUCUUUGAGUCAUCAAAUAUUUGAGACUUUUGUGAUCCGAAAAUACAUGGCACUUUUCACCAAAUAAGUAAUGACGCCAUAUUUUUAAAGCGAAUACGAUGGCAGCUAGUUCGAGAUCAUGGGUCGGAUAAUUUUUCUCAUGUGCCUUUAAUUGUCUCGACUCAUAGGCCACAACUCGACCUUCUUGCAUCAAUACGCAACCUAACCCAAGUAGGGACGCAUCACUAUAAAUGACAAACUCUUUGCCUGAUUCAGGCUGCACUAGAAUUGGAGCUUCAGUCAAAUAAGUUUUCAGUUGAUCAAAAUUUUUCUGACAUUUUUCUGUCCAUUCGAACUUAACAUCUUUUUGAAGUAGCUUCGUCAUGGGUGUGGCUAUCAUCGAGAAACCUUUUACAAACCGUCGGUAGUAACCGGCAAGUCCCAAAAAGUUCCGAACCUCAGUAAUAUUUCUCGGAGGCUUCCAGUUAAGUAUGGCUAAAAUUUUGUUCGGGUCAACUCGAAUACCCGAUGCGGAUACCACGUGACCCAAGAAGCUAACCUCUCUUAACCAGAACUCACACUUACUGAACUUAGCAUAUAACUGCUUAUCCCGCAAAAUUUGCAACACUAAUCUCAGGUGCUCAGCAUGUUUGGUCUCAUCUCUUGAAUAGACCAAGAUGUCAUCAAUGAACACAACUACGAACCGGUCCAAAUACUGUCUGAAGAUCCGAUUCAUCAAAUCCAUAAAUACCGCAGGGGCAUUAGUGAGCCCAAACGGCAUCACUAAGAACUCGUAGUGGCCGUAUCUCGUUCUGAAAGUAGUUUUGGGUAUAUCCGAAUCGCGAAUUCUCAAUUGAUAAUAACCCGAUCUUAAAUCUAUCUUUGAAAACACUGAGGCUCCCUUUAGUUGAUCAAACAAAUCAUCAAUACGCGGUAACGGAUAUUUAUUCUUUAUCGUCACUUUAUUUAGCUGACGAUAGUCAAUGCACAACCUCAUGGUUCCGUCCUUCUUUUUCACGAACAAUACUGGUGCACCCCAAGGUGAGAAACUUGGUCGAGCGAAACCUCUAUCAGUCAACUCUUGCAAUUGAGCUUUCAACUCCUUUAACUCGGUUGGUGCCAUACGAUACGGAGCUAUCGAAAUUGGCGCAGUUCCAGGUACAAGCUCAAUACCAAACUCUACCUCCCGAACAGGUGGUAAACCCGGUAAUUCUUCAGGAAAAACAUCUGGGUAUUCACAAACCACCGGCACAGAUUCGGGUUUCUUUUCUAAUUCUUUGUCAUCAAGUACAUACGCAAGGUAUGCUUCGCACCCUUUUCUUACAUAUUUCUGGGCCAACAUUGAGGAUAUUACAGCUGGCAACCCAUCCAAGUCCGUAGACUCAACUCGGAUCAUCUCAUUAUUUGCGCACCUCAAAUCCAUAGUCUUGCUUUUGCAAUUCACAACCGCAUCAUGCACGGUCAACCAAUCCAAACCAAGAAUAACAUCAAAUUCAUCAAACAAAGCAUCAAGUCCGCCGGAAAACAGGAAUCUCGAAUUACUAGGGGGCAUUUCUUACACACUUUGUUGACAAGCACGUAACGACCCAAGGGAUUUGACACCCGAAUUACGAACUCAGUAGACUCAAUAGGUAAAGUCUUACUGGAUGCUAAGGUUUCGCAUAUAUAAGAAUGAGUAGAACCAGGGUCAAUCAAAGCAAUCACAUUAGUAUCGAAGAGAGUAAAAGUACCGCUAAUAACAUCUGGCGAGGAAGCAUCCUCGCGUGCGCGUAUAGCAUAAGCCCUAGCAACAAGUAUUUUGCGAUUCUCGAACUUCAUCAAGUUCAAUCUUUUCCCACUUCUUUUUCUAGAAACAAAUUCUCUCUCUAGGAAGACACCAGUCCGAGCAACAAGUAUUUUGUUCUCAGUGGGAUUAAAGAAAUAAUAUCCUUUGGUUUCUUUUGGAUACCCCACAAAAACACAUUUUUUAGAUUUGGGUUCAAGCUUAGUAGACGUCUGACGUUUAACAUAAGCUUCGCAACCCCAAAUUUUCAUAAAAGAAAUACUGGGACGUUUCCCAGUCCACAUCUCAUAUGGUGUCUUUUGAACCGAUUUAGAUGGAACACGAUUUAGUGUGAAAGCAGCUGUCUCAAGUGCAUGUCCCCAAAAGGAAGUCGGCAGAUCAGCAUGACUCAUCAUGGAUCGAACCAUGUCUAACAAAGUUCAAUUUCUUCUUUCAGAAACUCCAUUCCAUUGAGGAGUACCAGGAGGAGUAAGUUGUAAGACAAUCCCACAUUGCUUCAAAAGAUCAUCAAACUCUAAGCUCAUAUACUCCCUACCUCGAUCAGAUCGAAGUGUCUUGAUAGUUUUUCCUAGUUGAUUUUGUACUUUAUUUUUGAAUUCCUUGAACUUUUCAAGGGAUUCAGACUUAUGGCGCAUGAGACAGACAGACCCAUAUCUACUAAAAUCAUCAGUGAAAGUAAUGAAGUAGUGAAAUCCUCCUCUAGCCUGUGUAUUUAUUGGCCCACAUACAUCAGAAAGUAUUAAGCCCAAUAAAUCACUAGCUCGUUCACUUUUACCAGUAAAAGGAGAUUUAGUCAUUUUUCCCAAUAAGUAAGAUUCACAUACAUCAAUUUGUUCAAAAACAAAUGAAUCCAAGAGACCAUCUUUAUGGAGCUUGGAUAUGCGUUCCUCACUUAUGUGGCCCAAACGACAAUGCCAUAGAUAAGUUUGAUUUGAGUCAUUUAUUUUUGGUCUUUUAGUAUUUAUGUUGUAGAUGGGAUUUGUUUGAUCUAAAAUAUAGAGGCCAUUAAUCAAUUGUGCAGAACCAUAGUAAACAUUAUUGAGAUAAAAGGAACAACAAUUAUUCUUAAUAAUUAUCCCAAAACCAAUUUUGUCUAAACAAGAAAUUGAAAUAAUGUUUUUAGUCAAACUGGGCACAUAAUAACAAUCCUCUAAAUAUAAACCAAGUCCACUAGGCAAAGAUAAAUUAUAUGUUCCUACAACUAAUGCAGCAACUUUUGCUCCAUUUCCAACUCGUAGGUCCACAUCUCCUUUAGCCAAAUUCUUACUCCUUUGCAGUCCCUGUACAGAAGUACAAAUGUGAGAACCACAACCAGUAUCUAAUACCCAUGAAGUAGUAGUUGAUAAAUUAAUAUCAAUAACAUAAAUACCUGAAGCAGACGUUCCGCUUAUUUUGGCCUUCUUGACUUCCUCAAGAUAGAUAGGGCAGUUCCGCUUCUAAUGUCCAGUCACAUCACAAUGAAAACAGUUUCAUUCCUUAGCCACCCCUCCUUUAGGUUUCAAUGCAGCCUUAACUUUUCCAAGCUUGGGCCUACCUUUUCCCUUAGGCUUUGUCUGAACUUUGGCCUUUCCCUUGCCCUUAUUAUUACGGACCAUCAGUAUAGGCUUGGGUCCAACCUUUUUCAUGUUGCCUUCAGCAGUUCGUAACAUACUGAGCAACUGUGGCAGAGUCUUAUCAAUUUCAUUCAUAUUGAAAUUGAGGACAAACUGGCUAUAGCUAUCCGGCAAUGAUUGCAGAAUAACAUCAGUGGCCAACUCUUGGCUCAAUGGAAACCCAAGCUUAGACAGGCUUUCAAUAUAGCCAAUCAUCUUAUGGACAUGAGGUCCUACUGGGCUUUCUUCAGCCAGCUUACAUUGGAAUAGGGCCUUAGAGAUAUCGAACCUCUCUUGCCGUGCUUGCCCCUAAUAAAGUUCUUUCAGGUGCUCAAUCAUUUCAUAAGCAACCAUGUCCUCAUGUUGCUUCUGAAGCUCAAGAUUCAUAGUGGCAAGCAUAAGACAUCCAACGUCUACCAUGUCAUCGAGAUGCUUCCUGUAAGCAUCUCUAUCAGCCCUCGAGGAAUUAGCGGAUGGUUCGUUAGGAACUGGUUGUUCAAUGACAUAUAAUUUUCGUUCUUGUUUGAGGACAAUCCUCAAGUUACAGAACCAGUCAAGAAAAUUUAAACCAUUCAACUUGUCCUUCUCAAGGACCGAUCGUAAUGAUAGUGUAUUUGUGUUUGCAGCCAUAAUAUAUCUACAAUAAUGAAAUUAUGCGUGUAAAAAUUUAUCAAAUUUAUAUCAAUCAUUAAAAGGACUUAAUUAAAUGAUGUUCCCACUAUUUUAUUACAAAACUAAUACCGUCAUAGAUUAGUUUCGGAAAGACUUUCUCGAAAAGUAUUUCAAGUGGGUUAAGGAUCCAUAUUUCACCUCCUCUUAAGUCAGCUUUGGCUUUACUCUUAAGAUUACGGUUAUCUAGGUAAGCAACACUUUGCUAAAUACAUCAUAUGUAAUUCCUAAAAUUUGGUAAACAACUCUUGUUCUAAUAAUCUUAUGAUUUAUCCAAAUUACUCGCCUCUAGGUUUCUAAUCCUAUUAGAAUAACCUAGUUAAGUCAUUAACCAAUUUUAACCAGCAAAUAUCACUUGUUUAUUCUUCGCGUUUAACCAAGAUAAAAACUAGUACUUCGCUUUAGCAGAACCUACACAGUAUUGAUCGAGACCUUAACGAGGGCAAAAUUGGAAGGCUAUGUUGACUUAAUAUUUUAAUAGAGGGAUUUUAUUAAGAUUAUUCUAUCUUUCCAAUUAUGGUUUACUUUAGUCCAUUUAGCCAUUUAAUUGAUCUCAUCAAUUAAUGUGGUUCAAUAUUAUCAAAUUUUAACAUGCUUAAAAUUUGGAAUACUUUUGACAUCCAUAGCAUCUCAUACAUGAAUAAAGAAAUAAAUAAAUGCGAUAGUUAUAGCCCAAAAACUAAGGUGGCACAACCCAAGCCAAUGGGUGAACCAAAAGGAAACCUAAAGGUGUAAGCCGAUUUUCAAGCUAUCAGUCCAUACUUGUUGCCCCAUCUUCCUUCUCGGCUAGCCCACAGCAACUCUUGCAGAUUACAAUAUGUAGAAACUCGUUUUAUAUACGAGGGAGUAAGAUGAGAAGAGAAAUACAAGAGAAUAGUAGUAAGGCACGACACGCAGACCGUAUUUAUAAAAUUACAACCUUUUAUCAAAUGGGCUGUCAGGCUAUAACUAUGCAUUUCAAACACCGUGCAUAUCAAAAAUAGCAUACAUAAAUAAACACUUUUGUUAAGGUGUAUUAAAACAUAUCCUUUCAACUUUUAUGGCCCAUCAAGUUUUAUUUAUUAAAAAAAAACAUACUUUAAGAAGAUGGGGGCUGAGGCGAUGGAGGGAGCGGGCCGAAAGCCCGCGAUCGAAACCCCUCAGAUCCCCAUCCCCAAAAAAACAUAUUGCCACAGUGGGAACAGGGGGUGCGGGGCGGAGCCCCCACGGUAUGGAUGCGGUACGAACCGCAUACCCCAUUCAAACCUCACGAUUCGAUAACUUUUAUCGACAAAAUCGUGUUUUCGGGAUUUUAAUCCCUGAGGUUUCAUGCCGGAACAACCCUUGUUCCGCUAACCAGUUAACUCUUACUGGAAACUGUCAACACCACCGUCGCACCAUCAUAGACCUAUUAACACUUAACAGUAAUAACAUAAAACCGAUUAGGCCAUAACACCAUGAUUAACAAUUAAUCCAUUGUCAAAAGGAACGAUUAUCUGGUUACUGUUAAAUGAUUUAAACAGUAAGAAAUUUAAUAAAACUGAAGCAUGCAUCUCAUACAAUUGCAUCACCCAAGUAUUUAAACCUGAGUCCGUGUCACACAAGUGGCUUUGAUACCACUGUUGGAUCACCGGCACCCCUAUAACGCAGCGAAAAAAUUUAAUAAUCGGUGACCCUAACCACUGAUCCAUGUGUGAGGAACGAAUCGGGGUGAAAAGGGUUACGAAAUUACCUAAUGCUGUUCUGAGUAGACAACAACUUCUCAACAACGUGUAGUCUGAUCUACAGUCGAACUAAGCCGCAAUCUAUCGAGACUCCGACCUCUACGUGAUCCACCCAGUUGACUACGAACGGAAGAAAUCCCCAAAAUAGUUUUGAGAGUGAAUUUUCUUUGACGGCUGCUAGACCAAAACAAAGAAAAACGGGAUACUUUUAUCCUUAUUAUUUAUUUUU